GGGGGACACCAACUGCGGUCGAGCGACAGAUGAGAAGCUUGCUUCUCUGAUGUUAGCGACGGACGGGUGAGUAACACGUGGGUAACCUACCUAUAAGACUGGGAUAACUCCGGGAAACCGGGGCUAAUACCGGAUAAUAUUUUGAACCGCAUGGUUCGAUAGUGAAAGACGGUUUCGGCUGUCACUUAUAGAUGGACCCGCGCCGUAUUAGCUAGUUGGUAAGGUAACGGCUUACCAAGGCGACGAUACGUAGCCGACCUGAGAGGGUGAUCGGCCACACUGGAACUGAGACACGGUCCAGACUCCAACGGGAGGCAGCAGUAGGGAAUCUUCCGCAAUGGGCGAAAGCCUGACGGAGCAACGCCGCGUGAGUGAUGAAGGUCUUCGGAUCGUAAAACUCUGUUGUUAGGGAAGAACAAAUUUGUUAGUAACUGAACAAGUCUUGACGGUACCUAACCAGAAAGCCACGGCUAACUACGUGCCAGCAGCCGCGGUAAUACGUAGGUGGCAAGCGUUAUCCGGAAUUAUUGGGCGUAAAGCGCGCGUAGGCGGUUUCUUAAGUCUGAUGUGAAAGCCCACGGCUCAACCGUGGAGGGUCAUUGGAAACUGGGAAACUUGAGUGCAGAAGAGGAGAGUGGAAUUCCAUGUGUAGCGGUGAAAUGCGCAGAGAUAUGGAGGAACACCAGUGGCGAAGGCGGCUCUCUGGUCUGUAACUGACGCUGAUGUGCGAAAGCGUGGGGAUCAAACAGGAUUAGAUACCCUGGUAGUCCACGCCGUAAACGAUGAGUGCUAAGUGUUAAGGGGGUUUCCGCCCCUUAGUGCUGCAGCUAACGCAUUAAGCAAUCCGCCUGGGGGAGUACGACCGCAAGGUUGAACUCAAAGGAAAUUGACGGGGACCCGCACCAAUCGGUGCAGCAUGUGGUUUAUUCGAUGCAACGCGAAGAAUCUUACCAAUCUUGACAUCCUUUGACCGCUCUAGAGAUAGAGUCUUCCCCUCCGGAGACAAGUGACAGGUGGUGCAUGUCGUCGCUCAGCCUCGUGAUCGUUGAGAAUGUCGGAUUAGUUCCGCAACGAGCCGAACCUAGCUAGGUGCAUCAUUAGCUGGACACUCUAGAUUGUGGCCGGUGACAAACCGGAGGAAGGUGGGGAUGACGUCAAAUCAUCAUGCCCCUUAUGAUUUGGGCUACACACGUGCUACAAUGGAUAAUACAAAGGGCAGCGAAUCCGCGAGGCCAAGCAAAUCCCAUAAAAUUAUUCUCAGUUCGGAUUGUAGUCUGCAACUCGACUACAUGAAGCUGGAAUCGCUAGUAAUCGUAGAUCAGCAUGCUACGGUGAAUACGUUCCCGGGUCUUGUACACACCGCCCGUCACACCACGAGAGUUUGUAACACCCGAAGCCGGUGGAGUAACCUUUUAGGAGCUAGCCGUCGAAGGUGGGACAAAUGAUUGGGGGAAGUCGAGCAAGUGCCUCC
rnacentral:rRNA from 1 species